rnacentral:rRNA from 1 species
GAUGAACGCUGGCGGCGUGCCUAAUACAUGCAAGUCGAGCGAACGGACGAGAAGCUUGCUUCUCUGAUGUUAGCGGCGGACGGGUGAGUAACACGUGGAUAACCUACCUAUAAGACUGGGAUAACUUCGGGAAACCGGAGCUAAUACCGGAUAAUAUUUUGAACCGCAUGGUUCAAAAGUGAAAGACGGUCUUGCUGUCACUUAUAGAUGGAUCCACGCUGCAUUAGCUAGUUGGUAAGGUAACGGCUUACCAAGGCAACGAUGCAUAGCCGACCUGAGAGGGUGAUCGGCCACACUGGAACUGAGACACGGUCCAGACUCCUACGGGAGGCAGCAGUAGGGAAUCUUCCGCAAUGAGCGAAAGCCUGACGGAGCAACGCCGCGUGAGUGAUGAAGGUCUUCGGAUCGUAAAACUCUGUUAUUAGGGAAGAACAUAUGUGUAAGUAACUGUGCACAUCUUGACGGUACCUAAUCAGAAAGCCACGGCUAACUACGUGCCAGCAGCCGCGGUAAUACGUAGGUGGCAAGCGUUAUCCGGAAUUAUUGGGCGUAAAGCGCGCGUAGGCGGUUUUUUAAGUCUGAUGUGAAAGCCCACGGCUCAACCGUGGAGGGUCAUUGGAAACUGGAAAACUUGAGUGCAGAGAGAGGAAAGUGGAAUUCCAUGUGUAGCGGUGAAAUGCGCAGAGAUAUGGGAGGACACCCAGUGGCGAAGGCGACUUUCUGGUCUGUAACUGACGCUGAUGUACGAAAGCGUGGGGAUCAAACAGGAUUAGAUACCCUGGUAGUCCACGCCGUAAACGAUGAGUGCUAAGUGUUAGGGGGUUUCCGCCCCUUAGUGCUGCAGCUAACGCAUUAAGCACUCCGCCUGGGGAGUACGACCGCAAGGUUGAAACUCAAAGGAAUUGACGGGGACCCGCACAAGCGGUGGAGCAUGUGGUUUAAUUCGAAGCAACGCGAAGAACCUUACCAAAUCUUGACAUCCUUUGACAACUCUAGAGAUAGAGCCUUCCCCUUCGGGGGACAAAGUGACAGGUGGUGCAUGGUUGUCGUCAGCUCGUGUCGUGAGAUGUUGGGUUAAGUCCCGCAACGAGCGCAACCCUUAAGCUUAGUUGCCAUCAUUAAGUUGGGCACUCUAAGUUGACUGCCGGUGACAAACCGGAGGAAGGUGGGGAUGACGUCAAAUCAUCAUGCCCCUUAUGAUUUGGGCUACACACGUGCUACAAUGGACAAUACAAAGGGCAGCGAAACCGCGAGGUCAAGCAAAUCCCAUAAAGUUGUUCUCAGUUCGGAUUGUAGUCUGCAACUCGACUACAUGAAGCUGGAAUCGCUAGUAAUCGUAGAUCAGCAUGCUACGGUGAAUACGUUCCCGGGUCU